rnacentral:rRNA from 1 species
GAUGAACGCUGGCGGCGUGCCUAAUACAUGCAAGUCGAGCGGGGUGAUGGUGCUUGCACUAUCACUUAGCGGCGGACGGGUGAGUAAUGCUUAGGAAUCUGCCUAUUAGUGGGGGACAACAUCUCGAAAGGGAUGCUAAUACCGCAUACGUCCUACGGGAGAAAGCAGGGGAUCACUUGUGACCUUGCGCUAAUAGAUGAGCCUAAGUCGGAUUAGCUAGUUGGUGGGGUAAAGGCCUACCAAGGCGACGAUCUGUAGCGGGUCUGAGAGGAUGAUCCGCCACACUGGGACUGAGACACGGCCCAGACUCCUACGGGAGGCAGCAGUGGGGAAUAUUGGACAAUGGGGGGAACCCUGAUCCAGCCAUGCCGCGUGUGUGAAGAAGGCCUUAUGGUUGUAAAGCACUUUAAGCGAGGAGGAGGCUCUUUUGGUUAAUACCCAAGAUGAGUGGACGUUACUCGCAGAAUAAGCACCGGCUAACUCUGUGCCAGCCGCCGCGGUAA